GGUGCGAAUGAUGUUUUGUAGCGAUCAAAGAAUGAGAAUUUGUGAUUAUCUUAACUACACUGAUGCACC